rnacentral:rRNA from 1 species
ACGUCAGAACUGUUUCGGUCUUCCAUCAGGGUUUCCCCUGACUUCAACCUGAUCAAGUAUAGUUCACCAUCUUUCGGGUCACAGCAUAUAUGCUCAAGGUACGUUCCAGUUAGAGGCAUAAAUAAUAUAAAUAUUAUCAUACAUAACUAUAUAGAACGCCCCGGGAUUGUGUUAAUUAACUAUAAAUAGUUAAAAAACUAAUCCCAUUAAUAGUCAAGUUAAUUACGCUAUUAGGUUU